UACGUAGGGUGCGAACGUUGUCCGGAAUUAUUGGGCGUAAAGAGCUUGUAGGCGGUCUGUCGCGUCUGCUGUGAAAAUCCGGGGCUCAACCCCGGACUUGCAGUGGGUACGGGCAGACUAGAGUGUGGUAGGGGAGACUGGAAUUCCUGGUGUAGCGGUGAAAUGCGCAGAUAUCAGGAGGAACACCGAUGGCGAAGGCAGGUCUCUGGGCCACUACUGACGCUGAGAAGCGAAAGCAUGGGGAGCGAACAGG
rnacentral:rRNA from 1 species